rnacentral:lncRNA from 1 species
AUGCUGCAGCUCUCGUCGGGUGCAGUGGCGCGCGCCUGUAAUCCAAGCUGCUGGGAGACUGAGGCUGGCGGAUCAGUUCAGGGGUUCUGGGCUGCAGUGGACUAUGUUGAUCAGGUGUCCACACUAAGUUCGGUAUCGAUAUGGUGUUCCUGGGGGAGCUCGGGACCACCAGGUCGUCUAAGGAGGGGUGAACCGGCCCAGGUCGGAGACGGAGCAGGUCAAAGCCCCCGUGUCGAUCAGUAGUGGGAUCGCUCCUGUGAAUAGACACUGCAGUGCAGCCUGAGCGAUACAGCGAGACCCAGACUUUUGUAUUUGCUGGGACAAAAAAAGUGCCCAAGACAUGUCAUCCUUUACUCACGCUUUGUCAUUUCAAACCUGUUCUUUCUAGCUUUUGUGGAACAUAAAAGAAGAUAUUUUGAAGAAUUUUUGUAACCAAACAGUUUCAAUCACCUUAGACUUAAAAUAAAUUAAAAUAAAAAAAAUACUGAGACAUUUCUCAAAUUAUCUUGUUUUAUGUUCCAUAUAAGAAAGAAAGUCAUUAAAGUUAUAUGAGGCUGGACAGACAAACCCAAAAGUCUGAGUCUCGCUGUAUCGCUCAGGCUGCACUGCAGUGUCUAUUCACAGGAGCGAUCCCACUACUGAUCGACACGGGGGCUUUGACCUGCUCCGUCUCCGACCUGGGCCGGUUCACCCCUCCUUAGACGACCUGGACCAUGAUAAAAUCAUGAUUAAUCUGUGGUAAUUUUGGAUUUUUAGGGGUUUAUUACCUGUUUUAUUUAUCAUAUGCAUGUGUAUUUAUCACAUGUACAAACAGCUUGUUAAUGUUAUUGUGGAAAACUUUGCUGUUUAUAUUCCUAGAAGAAAUAAAAUAAUUAAGGGACUGAGGUGUCAGGUGUGGCACUGGCUGCAGUCCUGACAGGAACAUCUGGAGCACCUGUGACUGAAACUAAUGUAUGUUCUGGUGAUACAACAUCAGGAAAUUAUGAAGCAGCUCUGACAGAAAACUCUCUUUCAACUGGAAGCUCCAGGACUGGGCUGUGAAACCCACCGGGGGCCCAACAUACAUCCAAGAGGACU